rnacentral:tRNA from 1 species
GGAGGGCUUGUGGCUCAGCGGCAGAGCAAUUGCUCGGCAUGUAGAAGGUGCCCGGUUCAAUUCCCGGCAUCUCCA